CUCCCGGACUCCUUCAGCGCGCUGCCUGCCUGCCCAGGGCCUUCCCGGAGAGCAGGUGACGGCGGCCUCCGGGCAUGGAGCUCGCGCUGACGAAAGGUUCUGGAAGCCGCCGUAAAAAGUAAUCAAGAAACGGGUGACAGGACUUUUCGUAAGACAUUUAAUUUUUACCCAGAGUAUCCGAAACAUUGCCGUGUCAAUCUCAGUGCGAUGGGAGACUGCCGGCCCCAAGGAGCUGCUCGUCCUUCUGCCGAGUUCCGGCCCGGACCCGCGGAGGAGGAGACCGCCGCGCCGGAGCUCGGACCUGACGUUUUUGUGAAGCACAGGGGGCGUGGGAGGGACCGGAUCAAUGCGGCACUCAACAAAACCUGUUUUUAAAAGAGUCGUGCUGUGUCGCCCAGGCUGGAGUGCAGUGACGCGAUCUCGGCUCACUGCAGCCUCCACCUUCCGGGCUCAAGCGAGCCUCCCGCCUCAGCCUCCUGAGUAGCUGGGAUUACAGGCACACACCUCCAGCUCGGCUGUUUUAUUUAUUUAUUUUUUUUUUGAGACGUAAUUUAGCUCAUGUUGACCAGGCUGGAGUGCAGUGGCGCGAUCUGGGCUCACCGCAACCCCCGCCUCCCGGGUUCAAGCGAUUUUCCGCCUCAGCCUCCUGAGUAGCUGGGGUUGCAGGCAUGCGCCACCACGCCCGGCUAAUUUUGUACUUAUAGUAGAGACGGGGUUUCUCCAUGUUGGUCAGGCUGGUCUCGAACUCCCGACCUCAGGUGCUCCGCCCGCCUUGGCCUCCCAAAGUGCUGGGAUUACAGGCGUGAGCCACCUCUCCAGGGCCAAAAGCCUUUUAUUGGAGUACUGGGUAACACAUUCAGAAGAGGGUGCAUAGCUUAGGCGCUCCGUGAAUUUUCACAAACUGAACAUACACCCAGGUAGCCAACACCCCCAGCAAGCCCCAGAAUCCCCUCAUGCUUGCUUUCUGCCACUAUCAAGCAGUUUGCUUUCUUUCAGAUUUUUAAGUUUUGAAAUAAUUAUUGAAAUGUACAGGGAGAAGUCUGGGUUGGUGGUUCUAACCUGUAGUCUCAGCUACUAGAGAGGCUGAAGGGGGAAGAUGGCUUUAGCCCUGGAUUUCUAGACUAGCCUGGACAACAUAGCAAGACCUCAUCUCUAUUUGUUUUUGAGACAGAGCCUCGGUCUGUCACCCAUGCUGGAGCGCAGUGGACCUCCGCCUCCCGGGUUCAAGUGAUUCUUCUUUCUCAGCCUCCCGAGUUAUUUGGGAUUACAGGUGUGCGCCACCACGCCCAGCUAAUUUUUUUGUAUUUUUAGUAGAGACGGGUUUCACCAUGUUGGCCAGGCUGGUCUUAAACUUCUGACUUAAGGUGAUCUGCCCGUCUCGGCCUCCCAAAGUGCUGGGAUUACGACGUCAGCCACUGCUCUUGGCCUAUCUUUUUUUUUUUUUUUUUUUUUAAAAGAAAGAGAUGUAUAGGGAGAUCACCCAGUAUCCCUCAGUGUUAACAUCUUGCAUAGCUACAGUUAGCAUAGAAGCCAGGAACAAGGUCUCACCAUGCUGCCCAAGCUGGUCUGAAAACUCUUGUCCUCAGGCAGUCCUCCCACCUCGGCCUCCCAAAGAUCUGAGAUUACAGGCAUGAGCCACCACACCUGGCCUUGGUUUUAAUUCCUGUCACAGUAUAUUAGUUUUCGCUGUUGUGUAUUGAUUGAUUGAGACAGGGUCUCGCUCUGUUGCCCAGGCUGGAGUGCAGGGGCAUGAUCCCAGCUCACUGCAACCUCCACCUCUUGGAUUCAAGUGAUUCUCCCGUCUCAGCCUCCCGAGUAACAGGAACCACAGGUGUGUGCCAGCACGCCUGGCUAAUUUUUUUUUUUUUUUUCUUGAGGUGGAGUUUCACUGUUGUUGCCCAGGUUGGAGUGCAGUGGCACAAUCUCAGCUCACUGCAACCUCUGCCUCCUGGGUUCAAGUGAUUCUCCUGCUUCAGCCUCACGAGUUGUUGGGAUUACAGGCGCCCGCCACCACGCCCAGGUAAUUUUUGUUUAGUAGAGACGGGGUUUCACCAUGUUGGCCUGGCUGGUCUCGAACUCCUGACCUCAGGUGAUCCACCCACCUCGGCCUCCCAAAGUUGUGGGAUUGCAGGCGUGAGCCACUGCGCCUGGCCUAAUUUUUCAAUUUUUUGGUGGAGAUAGGGUUUCACCAUGUUGGCCAGGCUGGAGUUUUGCCUGUUCUAGAAGCUUGUAUCAGUCAUACAACACCCCUUUGAGGAACCGUUUGAGGUGUGGCACGAUACAGCAAGUCAGCUGCCAAAGAGGGGCUUAGCCACAGGAAGUGCGUGCCCAGAACGGUAAAGGGGCUGUGGCCUUUCUUAUCAUCUCCACUCCCUGUCCCCCCCAUCACCUGCUCUUCGUGCUUUGUGAUAAUUCAGUGAGCUCAUACUCAUGACCUGUGUCCUCCAGCAUCUCCCGUGUCCCUCACAGCAGUUCUAUGAGGCUGGCUGCCCUGUUUGACAACUGAGGCCCGCAUCUUCCCCGGAAUCACCGACGUGUGGCUCUGAGCCCUGUCCCAGGGAUUUUCUCCAUCAGAGAAGAGGAGCACUUUGAGCUUUGAGAGGAGCAGCCCUCUGCAAGUGAAGUGGAAAAAAAGGAAGCAGGCGAGGAGGCCCAUCCAGACCCUCCCCCAAGACCCUUGCUGAAAUGGCUGGGAUGCGGCGUGCAGAAGCUCUCCUUUCCUUCACAGCCCCUGGCUUUCCAAGAGUCCCUGCCCACCCAGAUGCCCGCUGGCAGAUGCAGCCUCAUCUCAAGGACACUGCUUGCUGGAUAAAUCCCUCACCACCCUAGAGACAGCCCACGGUCCUGAGACAAGGAUGCGGGCCAGGCUUGUUGCACGUAAGCGCCUCCCGCAGAAACCAGUGAGGCCGGAGUUCCAGAGGAAAUGAUGUAGGGACAGAGGCAGAGGGCCUCCAGGAGGCACCAGCCCCAGAGUCUUCCCUAGAAUCAGACUUUAAGCACAAGCAGGGAGGGAAAGCACUUGAGCAGUGCCCGUCCCUGCAUACCUGGCCUCUGCUGGAACCCAUGCAGGGACAGGACACUUCUUUAUCAGCAAUCCUGUUCCUCUCCUGGGCAGCUUCAACCUGAACAUCCUCCUUCACCUUGAGCUAAAAUGGGUUUCUUGUCACCCUUGCCCAUCAAACCUGGCCUUGCCCUCAGGAACCACACAGGACAAGCCUAAUACUUCCUUCUUGUGGCAACACUUUAGCAAUUGAGACCUGGCUGUCAGGUCCUCCAAAUAAACAUUUGUGACUGUGAUGUUGACUUGCCGCUUCUGGGGACCUCUUCUCAUUUGAUCGGAGAAAGUUUUUCAGGGUUAAACCUACUUCUUUCCCCCAAGAAACUCUUCUUGUCAGGCUCACGCCUAUAAUCCUGGCACUUUGGGAGGCCAAGGCAGGAGGAUUGUUUGAGACCAGCCUGGGCAACGUAGGUAGACUAUGUUGCUACAAAAAGAAAAAGAAAAAAUGGCCAGGUGUAGUAGUCCCAGCUGCUUGGAGGCUGAGGUAGGAGGUUUGCUUGAGCCCAGGAGGUCGAGGCUGCAGUGAGCUAUGAUUGUGCCACUGCACUCUAGCCUGGGAGACAGAAUGAGGCCCUGUCUCAAAAAAAAAAAAAAAAAAAAAAAGAUGAUGAAACUCCUCACGUAUUUCUCCCCGGAGCAUGUGCUCCCAGGCUCAAAUCCACAGCAGCCUCGUUACACACACGUCAUCCCCUGGCCCCGAGAUAUUGCACCGCCUUCCCCUUUCUAGCUCUGAACCCCCACAUGAAGCAGCCAGACGUAGGAAAACCCAGAUUCAUAAAGCGCUGAUAUGGGUGGUCCUUUACCAAAGGAUUUUCUGCUUUACAAAGUAAUUCACCAAAUGAUUUCCCUAGAGUAUGGGCAGAGAUUUGCAAACUACAGCUUGGAACCAAGCUGCCUUUUUUUUAUAAUAAAGUUUUAUCAGGAUGCAUCCACAUCCAUUCAUCUCUGUGGUGCCAGCUGCUCUAGCUACACAGGCAGAGUGGAAGAGUUGCAGAUGGCCAACAAAACCUAAACUGUUUACCGCCUGGCCCCUUAUAGAAGCAGCUGGCUGACGCUGGCUCCAGGGCAUCAGAAAUGGGACCAUUGGAAAGGAGUAGCCGGGCUACAUGGUUUUUCUUCUGCCCCACGUCUUGUUCUCAAACAUGCUUCCUCCCCAGUCAUCUGAGGAAUGUCAGUCUGAGACAGUCAGGAGCAGGUGUGCCUAGGGAUGCAUGGUUUCUGAAAAUGGGGUGGGGUCUUUUAGGCUGAGGGCUCUGGCAGCUUCUGUCUGAAGGCUGAGCUGAGCUGAGCAGAGCUGGGCAUGGUGGCUCACGCCUGUAGUCCCGGCUACUCAGGAGGCCAAGGUGGGAGAAUCACUUGAGCCUGGGAAGUUCAGAGGAGCCUGGGCAACACAGUGAGACCUCAUCUUUAUUUUUUGAAAUUUUUUGUUUUUAUUAUUUUUUUAAUUUUUAGGAGCAGAGGGUUAAUAGGCAAAAGAAAGAGAGAGAGGAAAACAGCUCUCUCCAGUGAGAGAGAGGGUACUUCUGAAAGGAAAACGCCACCGGCAGCAGAUGCACUGGAUUUUAUAGUCAGGCUUGAGGAGGUGGUGUCUGAUUUACAUAGGGCUCACAGAUUGGUUCAGUCAGGUAUGAUGUUUACAUAGCGCUGGGGUGUGGGGAAGGCUGACCUCCCCACUCUAAUCUUAUUAUGCAAAUGAACUUUCCCCUUGGCCAGCACCAUCUUGUCUGCUCCUUACUGUGCACGUGGCUGGCAGAGAAGGGAAGAUGGAGCCGCCAUUUUGAACAUGAUUGGCACAACUGCCUGCAUCUAUGUCUGCAGCUCGAUUUUACACGCUGCUCUUUGUUAGAAAGGAAAAUGAUUUGGGGCUGCUUUUCAGUAAAAGGAAAACCUUACUGAGGACUUCUGUAUCCUCACUAUCUAAGUAAUUUCCUCUUAACUCCUGUAUCAUUCCCCACUCUGGAGUGGUAACCCUAACUGCUCUUCGGGGUUGUUUGAUGAUGACUCUUUCUGGCUACUUCAUACUUAAAAGGGGUGUUGUGUGGGGAACAGAAGCUAAGGGCUCCUCCUGGGGUCGAGCUAAGGGUCCUCGGAAAAAAGGCAUGUCCGUGCAUGGUUCUGUCUGCAGCACCAUUUAGAGUUUGAUUACUGUCAGCCAUUCUGAUGGGUUGUAACACUGGUUUGCCUCCACCAGAUGUUGAGAUAGUUUCCAGAUUCCAGAGAAACCAGG
rnacentral:lncRNA from 10 species